GAUGAACGCUGGCGGCGUGCCUAAUACAUGCAAGUCGAGCGAACAGACGAGGAGCUUGCUCCUCUGACGUUAGCGGCGGACGGGUGAGUAACACGUGGAUAACCUACCUAUAAGACUGGGAUAACUUCGGGAAACCGGAGCUAAUACCGGAUAAUAUAUUGAACCGCAUGGUUCAAUAGUGAAAGACGGUUUUGCUGUCACUUAUAGAUGGAUCCGCGCCGCAUUAGCUAGUUGGUAAGGUAACGGCUUACCAAGGCGACGAUGCGUAGCCGACCUGAGAGGGUGACGGCCCCAACUGAAACUGAGCACGGGGCCACACCCCAAGGGGGGGCAGCAGGAGGAAAUUUUCCGAAAGGGGCAAAACCCGAAGGGAGAACGGCCGGGGGGGUGAGGAAGUCUUUCGGUUGAAAAACCUUUUUUUUUGGGGAAAAAAAAAUGGGAAAGUACCUAGGCACUUUUGGACGGUACCAAAUCAGAAACCCCCGGCUAACUCCG
rnacentral:rRNA from 1 species